rnacentral:rRNA from 1 species
UACGAGGGGGGCAACUGUUGUUCGGAAUCACUGGGCGUAAAGGGAGCGUAGGCGGGUUUCUAAGUCAGGUGUUUAAUCCCGGGGCCCAACCCCGGACAGGCACUUGAAACUGGGAAUCUUGAAUAGGGGAGAGGUCAGUGGAAUUGGAGGUGUAGCGGUGGAAUGCGUAGAGAUCUCCAAGAACACCAGUUGCGAAGGCGGCUGACUGGACCCAUAUUGACGCUGAGGCUCGAAAGCAUGGGGAGCAAACAGG